rnacentral:rRNA from 1 species
CGGGGGCAGCUACCAUGCAGUCGACGAUGACCACUUCGGUGGGGAUUAGUGGCGAACGGGUGAGUAACAGGGGGAAAUCUGCCCUGCACUCUGGGACAAGCCCUGGAAACGGGGUCUAAUACCGGAUACUGAUCCGUCUGGGCAUCCAGAUGGUUCGAAAGCUCCGGCGGUGCAGGAUGAGCCCCCGGCCUAUCAGCUUGUUGGUGAGGUAGGGGCUCACCAAGGCGACAACGGGUAGCCGGCCUGAGAGGGCGACCGGCCACACUGGGACUGAGACACGGCCCAAACUCCUACGGGAGGCAGCAGUGGGGAAUAUUGCACAAUGGGCGAAAGCCUGAUGCAGCGACGCCGCGUGAGGGAUGACGGCCUUCGGGUUGUAAACCUCUUUCAGCAGGGAAGAAGCGAAAGUGACGGUCCCUUCUUAAGAAGCGCCGGCUAACUACGUGCCAGCAGCCGCGGUAAUACGUAGGGCGCGAGCGUUGUCCGGAAUUAUUGGGCGUAAAGAGCUCGUAGGCGGCUUGUCACGUCGGUUGUGAAAGCCCGGGGCUUAACCCCGGGUCUGCAGUCGAUACGGGCAGGCUAGAGUUCGGUAGGGGAGAUCGGAAUUCCUGGUGUAGCGGUGAAAUGCGCAGAUAUCAGGAGGAACACCGGUGGCGAAGGCGGAUCUCUGGGCCGAUACUGACGCUGAGGAGCGAAAGCGUGGGGAGCGAACAGGAUUAGAUACCCUGGUAGUCCACGCCGUAAACGGUGGGCACUAGGUGUGGGCAACAUUCCACGUUGUCCGUGCCGCAGCUAACGCAUUAAGUGCCCCGCCUGGGGGAGUACGGCCGCAAGGCUAAAACUCAAAGGAAUUGACGGGGG